rnacentral:rRNA from 1 species
AACGAACGCUGGCGGCAGGCUUAACACAUGCAAGUCGAGCGCCCCGCCAGGGGAGCGGCAGCCGGGUGAGUAACGCGUGGGAACGUACCUUUUGGUUCGGAACAACUCCGGGACACUGGAGCUAAUACCGGAUAAGCCCUAACGGGGAAAGAUUUAUCGCCGAACGAUCGGCCCGCGUCUGAUUAGCUAGUUGGUGAGGUAACGGCUCACCAAGGCGACGAUCAGUAGCUGGUCUGAGAGGAUGAUCAGCCACACUGGGACUGAGACACGGCCCAGACUCCUACGGGAGGAAGCAGUGGGGAAUAUUGGACAAUGGGCGCAAGCCUGAUCCAGCCAUGACGCGUGAGUGAUGAAGGCCUUAGGGUUGUAAAGCUCUUUUGUCCGGGAAGAUAAUGACUGUACCGGAAGAAUAAGCCCCGGCUAACUUCGUG